AGCGCUGCACGACAAGCAUCUGUCACACAGCCCGGAGAGGCGACGGAUGGACGGAGCUCAGCUCUUCGCGCCGAGGGCGCCCAGCAUCCCGGCCGCCGAGCCGCACCGAGGAGGGCGCGGGCAGACGGAAGGAGGAGAGGAGCGAUCCCCGCCGAGAUAACUGCCGAAUCUGGAAGAAUCUCUAAGUGCUGGUCCCACUAGAACAACGCACAUACAGAUAACUGAUGGGAGAAUGAAAAUGUUUAUGCACUUAGCAAAUUUACGUUCUAAAACCAAAGUGCAUCUUAGCAGUAAGUGCAGAUGCUUAUCUACAAUGAGUUCUAAACAGAGGAAUAAAUGCAGAAGGCUAAAGUAUUAAAAGCCUUGCUGAAGAUGCAAGCCACCUCCAAAAAAAGGAAAUACGUCAGUUUAUCUAUAUUCCACAUAUAUUAGAAGAUUCAGAUACUGCAAAAAUAGACAAGUCCUAACUACACUGCAUGAUGUGGUGUUAAUACUUGCUUUGUAGUAUAUUCCUCAGCAGUUCUAAAUACUGAGAUCAUAAUCCUCACGUGUUCUCCACAGUGCCUUUUUUUGGCACUCCCUUCCCCCCAUUUUCCCUUCUCUGAAAUACUUCUCUUAAAAAACGAGCCCUUAAAUAAAGGCAGUGGGAAGGCAGAAAAAAAAAGGAAGUGGAGGGAUAUAGCAAUCUCAUGUAAUAAACAAUUUAAUAUAAUGUCCUGUAUUGAAAAUCCUUCCAACCUUUAACAAUUGUAUGCAACUUUUCCCUUACUUCUCUGCAAGUAUUAUGUUUCACAUACGCUUACACAUAGAAAAUGAAAACAGGAGAAGUAGAGGGAUAACAAAAGUCAUCUCAGCUUCACAAAGCACUGAGAUUGUCAGAUGAAAGGCAAAAUCUGAACAUUCACGAUUUAUUAUUUGGAAACAACCCAAUGGUGGAAGGAUUCAUCAAGUAGAGUUUGCAUGCUGUGAGAACACAGGCUGACUUGUUUCAAGUGAGCUGUACAUCUGAGGAAGAGCAAGAGACUGCAUAUUAGACCUAUUCUGUAGGGACUUAACAUAGGUACAUAUAUUCUUUGAAUUUUAUGAAAGUCCCAUGUGUACAAAUCUAAGUGUUUCAUUGGUACAAGAAUGUCUACUUAUUGACCAAUUCCAACCCACUUGCAGAGAUUGAGGUCAAGUAAUAUUACUCACUGGAUUAAAUGCACAGUUUCACAUAAUGGACAUGAGCUAGUGACUUGUAUAAAUUAAAAUAUUGCAAAAAUUCUAAA